AAGGCUGAAACUCAAAGGAAUUGACGGGGGCCCGCACAAGCGGUGGAGCAUGUGGUUCAAUUCGACGCAACGCGAAGAACCUUACCCAGGCUUGAACUGCAGGUGACAUCCUACGAAAGUAGGCUUCCGCAAGGACACCUGUAGAGGUGCUGCAUGGCUGUCGUCAGCUCGUGUCGUGAGAUGUUGGGUUAAGUCCCGCAACGAGCGCAACCCUUGUCUUCUGUUGCCAUCGGGUUAUGCCGGGCACUCUGAAGAGACUGCCGGUGACAAACCGGAGGAAGGUGGGGAUGACGUCAAGUCAGCAUGGCCUUUAUGUCUGGGGCCACACACGUGCUACAAUGGCCGGUACAAACCGUCGCGAGCCCGCGAGGGGGAGCUAAUCGGAGAAAGCCGGUCUCAGUUCGGAUUGUAGGCUGCAACUCGCCUGCAUGAAGUUGGAAUCGCUAGUAAUCGCGGAUCAGCACGCCGCGGUGAAUACGUUCCCGGGCCUUGUACACACCGCCCGUCACAUCACGAAAGCCGGCUGUACUAGAAGUCGCUGCGCUAACCCGCAAGGGGGGCAAGCGCCUAAGGUAUGGUCGGUGAUUGGGGUG
rnacentral:rRNA from 1 species